GCUCAGAACGAACGCUGGCGGCAUGCCUAACACAUGCAAGUCGAACGAACCUUCGGGGUUAGUGGCGCACGGGUGCGUAACGCGUGGGAACCUGCCUUUAGGUUCGGAAUAACAGUUAGAAAUGACUGCUAAUACCGGAUAAUGUCUUCGGACCAAAGAUUUAUCGCCUUUAGAUGGGCCCGCGUUAGAUUAGAUAGUUGGUGGGGUAAUGGCCUACCAAGUCGACGAUCUAUAGCUGGUCUGAGAGGAUGAUCAGCCACACUGGGACUGAGACACGGCCCAGACUCCUACGGGAGGCAGCAGUGGGGAAUAUUGGACAAUGGGCGAAAGCCUGAUCCAGCAAUGCCGCGUGAGUGAUGAAGGCCUUAGGGUUGUAAAGCUCUUUUACUCAGGGAUGAUAAUGACAGUACCUAGAGAAUAAGC
rnacentral:rRNA from 1 species